rnacentral:rRNA from 1 species
GACGAACGCUGGCGGCGUGCUUAACACAUGCAAGUCGAACGGAAAGGCCCUGCUUUUGUGGGGUUCUCGAGUGGCGAACGGGUGAGUAACACGUGAGUAACCUGCCCUUGACUUUGGGAUAACUUCAGGAAACUGCGGCUAAUACCGGAUAGGAGCUCCUGCUGCAUGUUGGGGGUUGGAAAGUUUCGGCGGUUGGGGAUGGACUGGCGGGUUAUCAGCUUGUUGGUGGGGUAGUGGCUUACCAAGCGUUUGACGGGUAGCCGGCCUGAGAGGGUGAACGGGCUCCUUGGGACUGAGGUAGGGACCAGACUCCUACGGGAGGCAGUAGUGGGAAAUCUGGCAGAAUGGGGGGAAGCCUGAUGCAGCAACGCCGCGUGCGGGAUAACGUCCUUCGGGUGAAAAACAGCUUUCGCAUGAGACGAAGAGUGAGUGACGGUAAUGGGUAAGGAAGCACCGGCUAACUACGUG